UAGGGAAUCUUCCACAAUGGACGCAAGUCUGAUGGAGCAACGGCCGCGUGAGUGAAGAAGGUUUUCGGACCGUAAAGCUCUGUUGUUGGUGAAGAAGGAUAGAGGUAGUAACUGGCCUUUAUUUGACGGUAAUCAACCAGAAAGUCACGGCUAACUACGUGCCAGCAGCCGCGGUAAAUCGUAGGUGGCAAGCGUUGUCCGGAUUUAUUGGGCGUAAAGCGAGCGCAGGCGGAAGAAUAAGUCUGAUGUGAAAGCCCUCGGCUUAACCGAGGAAUUGCAUCGGAAACUGUUUUCUUGAGUGCAGAAGAGGAGAGUAGAACUCCAUGUGUAGCGGUGGAAUGCGUAGAUAUAUGGAAGAAUACCAGUGGCGAAGGCGGCUCUCUGGUCUGCAACUGACGCUGAGGCUCGAAAGCAUGGGUAGCGAACAGGAUUAGAUACCCUGGUAGUCCAUGCCGUAAACGAUGAGUGCUAAGUGUUGGGAGGCUUCCGCCUCUCAGUGCUGCAGCUAACGCAUUAAGCACUCCGCCUGGGGGAGUACGACCGCAAGGUUGAAAC
rnacentral:rRNA from 1 species